rnacentral:rRNA from 1 species
AUUGAACGCUGGCGGCAUGCCUUACACAUGCAGGUCGAACGGCAGCACGGGAGCAAUCCUGGUGGCGAGUGGCGAACGGGUGAGUAAUACAUCGGAACGUGCCCAAUCGUGGGGGAUAACGCAGCGAAAGCUGUGCUAAUACCGCAUACGAUCUACGGAUGAAAGCAGGGGAUCGCAAGACCUUGCGCGAAUGGGGCGGCCGAUGGCAGAUUAGGUAGUUGGUGAGGUAAAGGCUCACCAAGCCGUCGAUCUGUAGCUGGUCUGAGAGGACGACCAGCCACACUGGGACUGAGACACGGCCCAGACUCCUACGGGAGGCAGCAGUGGGGAAUUUUGGACAAUGGGCGAAAGCCUGAUCCAGCCAUGCCGCGUGCAGGAUGAAGGCCUUCGGGUUGUAAACUGCUUUUGUACGGAACGAAACGGCCUUUUCUAAUAAAGAGGGCUAAUGACGGUACCGUAAGAAUAAGCACCGGCCAACUACGUGCCAGCAGCCGCGGUAAUACGUAGGGUGCAAGCGUUAAUCGGAAUUACUGGGCGUAAAGCGUGCGCAGGCGGUUAUGUAAGACAGUUGUGAAAUCCCCGGGCUCAACCUGGGAACUGCAUCUGUGACUGCAUAGCUAGGGUACGGUAGAGGGGGAUGGAAUUCCGCGUGUAGCAGUGAAAUGCGUAGAUAUGCGGAGGAACACCGAUGGCGAAGGCAAUCCCCUGGACCUGUACUGACGCUCAUGCACGAAAGCGUGGGGAGCAAACAGG